UACGGAGGGGGCUAGCGUUGUUCGGAAUUACUGGGCGUAAAGCGCGCGUAGGCGGAUCUGCAAGUCGGGGGUGAAAUCCCGAGGCUCAACCUCGGAACUGCCUUCGAUACUGCGGGUCUCGAGUCCGGGGAGAGGUGAGUGGAAUUCCUAGUGUAGAGGUGAAAUUCGUAGAUAUUAGGAAGAAACACCAGUGGCGAAGGGCGGCUCACUGGCCCCGGUAC
rnacentral:rRNA from 1 species